UACGUAGGGCGCAAGCGUUGUCCGGAAUUAUUGGGCGUAAAGAGCUCGUAGGCGGCCUGUUGCGUCCGCUGUGAAAUCCCGGGGCUUAACCCCGGGCUUGCAGUGGAUACGGGCAGGCUGGAGGCAGGCAGGGGAGAAUGGAAUUCCCGGUGUAGCGGUGAAAUGCGCAGAUAUCGGGAGGAACACCGGUGGCGAAGGCGGUUCUCUGGGCCUUACCUGACGCUGAGGAGCGAAAGCGUGGGGAGCGAACAGG
rnacentral:rRNA from 1 species